rnacentral:snRNA from 1 species
GUGCUCGCUUCGGCAGCACAUAUACUAAAGAACUGGAACGAUACAGAGAUCAGCAUAGCCCCUGUGCAAGGAUGACACGCAAAUUCGUGAAGUAUUCCAUAUUUUU